rnacentral:pre_miRNA from 1 species
AGUGGGAUAGCUAGUCUAUUUUGGUUCCAUUCCAAGUUUUUUGAGGAAUUUCUGUACUGCUUUCCAGAGUGGUUGCACCAAUUUGCAAUGCCACCAGCAAU